UGCCGCUCAAUUUUCGAAAAAAAUAAAAUAAAGAAGCUGUCCCGGAAGUAGAUUGGUAUGAUAUGUGGUGUGAAAUCUUGCUACCAAUCUUGUUUUUACACGACAACCGUACCCGCAUCUGUCUCGCCUGCAGGCACAUGGCAUGGUCGCACUUUAGUCGCAAUCACGGCAGGGCGGGCGGGCGUAGACUGACGGCUGUCACAUCUGAGAAAUUGCUUAAUUUGAUGAGAGCUAAUUAAUUAGCUGUAGCAACUAAUGGUUAGUUGUGAGAGACAAGAGUCAGCUGCUACGGCCAAGAUGUAGCUGCAAUAGCGAAUGCGUUAGUUCCAACACCAAUUCGGUGGUUAGUCAACAAAACAAACCGGUUGGCUGCUGUAGCAUCAGCUUGGCUGUAGCAUCUAACUCUGAGCUCUGGCAACUAAUUAUUUGCUGUCAUAGUUGAUUUCAAAUUGUCUGUCAUUAACAAGGGGGAAAUCACUCCAGAUUUACGAUUUACACUAUUACGCUUCAUUUGUACCAUUAGUGCGCGUUAUUACGCCGUUAGUGCGCCUUAAGUACAGGCCCGGGUGUACGAGUUAGUACGCAAGUGAUUUCCCCUUCAGUCACCAAAUCAACUAAUUUCUUGCGACUGUGGUGACCAAUCUCUUUUUCCCCUCUGGUAAAGAGUCUUUACAAAUUUACAAGUUUCCUUACAAGUGCCGCCUAACUACAAAAGCAGUUUAGUGAUCAAACAAAGAUGUCACUAACAAUCGUAGCCCUUCUCGCACUACUGUGCCGGAUGAGCACCCAUGGCAGAACUUUGAACUCUUUCGCGUUCUCUGGGGAUCACGGAUAUGCUUCGUGUCUCUUUUCUGUAUAGGGCCCAUAUAUAGCUUUCGCCGAACGUUUUUACAAUUGUGAGACAAACCUCUCGCUUCCCUGGCAAUGGGCUUUCCAUCCUUCUCGCUUCAAUCCAUAUAAACCAAGAGAACUUCAACUGCUAACCGGUAACUUAACGGCUAGAAAUGUAGAUAUGGAUGACAGCUGGUGGCUGAAAGUAAUAUUAGAUGUCUGGGCGAAUAACCAAUGGAAGGAAAACGCUUUUGUUCUUUUCUUUAAAAACAGAGCAUGUUCGAGUCUAAGGGCGAAUACCCCUAGUUUUUACGAACAUGUAUUUAAGAGAGAAAUCAAAGACCGGUGCAUAAUCAAACGUGGAGUUUACGAGGUCCGUAACGCCCCGAUUGAGUGGGUAUUUCCAAAUAUUCCAAUUAUGCCUUAUGGGCGCUAUAAGCACAGAUCGACGUCAGGUAAGGCUGACAAAUACUUGUGCUUGUCCGGAGAAUUUCAUGCAAUCCCUAAAGUCGAUUAACAUCCUACAUCAUAAAAUCACUAUCGUUAAUGUAUUGUCUUACAUUACAAAAUAUAUGGCAACGUUUGGAUCUAAAUAAAUAUCUGUUAAAACUGUGUCUACUAAUUUUGUUUUUUGGA